AGAGCGAACGCUGGCGGCAGGCUUAACACAUGCAAGUCGAGCGGGCGUAGCAAUACGUCAGCGGCAGACGGGUGAGUAACGCGUGGGAACGUACCUUUUGGUUCGGAACAACCCAGGGAAACUUGGGCUAAUACCGGAUAAGCCCUUACGGGGAAAGAUUUAUCGCCGAAAGAUCGGCCCGCGUCUGAUUAGCUAGUUGGCGAGGUAAUGGCUCACCAAGGCGACGAUCAGUAGCUGGUCUGAGAGGAUGAUCAGCCACAUUGGGACUGAGACACGGCCCAAACUCCUACGGGAGGCAGCAGUGGGGAAUAUUGGACAAUGGGCGCAAGCCUGAUCCAGCCAUGCCGCGUGAGUGAUGAAGGCCCUAGGGUUGUAAAGCUCUUUUGUGCGGGAAGAUAAUGACGGUACCGCAAGAAUAAGCCCCGGCUAACUUCGCGCCAGCAGCCGC
rnacentral:rRNA from 1 species